AACGAACGCUGGCGGCAUGCCUAACACAUGCAAGUCGAACGAGACCUUCGGGUCUAGUGGCGCACGGGUGCGUAACGCGUGGGAACCUGCCCUUAGGUUCGGAAUAACUCCCCGAAAGGGGUGCUAAUACCGGAUAAUGUCUUCGGACCAAAGAUUUAUCGCCUUUGGAUGGGCCCGCGUUGGAUUAGCUAGUUGGUAGUGUAAAAGCCUACCAAGGCGACGAUCCAUAGCUGGUCUGAGAGGAUGAUCAGGCACACUGGGACUGAGACACGGCCCAGAAUCCUACGGGAGGCAGCAGUGGGGAAUAUUGGGCGAUGGGCGAAAGCCUGAUCAAGCAAUGCCGCGUGAGUGAUGAAGGCCGUAGGGUUGUAAAGCUCUUUUACCCGGGAUGAUAAUGACAGUACCGGGAGAAUAAGCUCCGGCUAACUCCGUG
rnacentral:rRNA from 1 species